rnacentral:misc_RNA from 1 species
UCUCCCUCCCCUCCCCCCAUACACGCGUGCACUGUCUGAGAUCCACGAAGAAAUAACGAGGGCCUUCGCAUUUCCUCUUCCUCUUUUGUUUUCCAUCUUUUAAAGCGACAACGUCUGCGCAAUCGCUUUUUUCUUCUGCCUCACCUCCUCUGCACCAUCAUCAGCAACAAGAAGGCAGAACAAAGACACACCCCGACGCACCGCUACCUCUUCCGUUUUUGUCGAUCCGUCUCUGUGUGUGAGCUCAUUGCCAGGUGCUUGUCGUAACCGAAGAUGUCGACUCGCAACGGCCGACGUGGCAUGGGCCCCUUUGGCGCCAACAAGCCGAGCGGCGUGCGGAUGAACCGCAAGAACCUCCGCAGCGUGCGUGAGGUGACCCUGGACCACUACGAUGCCGAGUACAUGUAUCUGCGCGAAAACGAGCUUAUCAGCUUUGACUGUGACGUGAAGAUGGAGCAGCUUCUCGUACUUGAUCUGUCCAUCAACGAGAUCACCGGCGCCGUCGACUUCCUGAAGCGCACGCCCCAUCUUCACCACCUCUACAUGACCGGAAACAAGAUCGACACCCUCGCCGGGAUUUCCAACUUUGCCGCCAUCGAGACGCUCUGCCUCAGCGACAACGCCAUCAGCUCGUUUGCGGGUCUUGAGAACUUGCCGAACCUGCGCGUGCUCUCGCUGAACUUCAACAACAUCACGAGCUUCGAAAGUUACCCGACCUUGCCUAACCUGCACACACUUAACCUGGUGGGCAACCCCAUCACAGAUGCCCCCAACUACCGUUCCAUGGCUAUCGCGGUCAACGGGCUGAACCUCGUCUCCGUGGACGGAAACCCGGUGCAGGUCGAGGAGCGCGCUGAGGCAGAUAAGUACAAGGGCAAGGUCGUCCACUGCGUGCGCGAGGGCUUCACGGUCGAGGGCGAGAACCCGGAGAAGGCCGCUGCCGCCUUCAUGGUGAAGAUGCAGCGCAACCGCCAGGAUGCCAAGUACCUGCAGCUGUGCUCCAUCAACCUCGCUCCUGUUUCGGAGGAGGGCGGCGACAUCAUGGAGGGUGACCCAGUGGCGCUGUCGCUGUGCAUGCAGGAUGUGCGCCCGUACGCGCAGCGCACCACGGAAGUUUUCCAGUCCAGCUACCUGUACCCUGUCAUCUUCAAGGUGUCCGGCGAGGCCUCGGAGGUGUUCGUGGUGGGGUCCAUGAACAACUGGACGGAGCCGAUAAGCCUCGAGCGAUGCGUUGAGGGCGACGAGGUAUACUUCCACACAACCCUGUACCUCCCCGCGGGCGACUACGAAUACCGCUACAUCGUGGACGGUGUGGAGAAGGUGUCUGAAGCAAACAGCAUGCCCUCCAAGUACAAGCAGGGCUUCUGCAACAUCUACAAGGUGGCGGAGCUGGAGCCGCAGGAGGAGGAUCAGGACACAAUCCUCCACAUCCGUUGGAUGCGCAGCUCCCCGAGCGGCUCGUAUGAGGUGAUUGAGGACGAGAACACACUCACCUACACACCGACGACGGCGGACAUCAACUGCUGCCUGCGCGUUGAGGUGCUGGCCUACGUCAACGGUGAGUUCUCCUUCCUCUACUUUGACAUCUCGACGCCGACCAAGCCGGCCCCGCCACAGUGCCCACGUCUCGAGGUGACCGGGGUGGCGGUGGAGGGUGGUCUGCUGACGGCAGAGGCAGACUACUUCGGCGGCAUCGAGGGCAACUCGUCUCUCGUGUGGUACCGCAUCUCGCCAAGCGGCGAUGAGGUGGCUGUGGACGUCAUGGACCCGUGGGCUGGCUACGAGGUGACUCGCCACGAUAUCGGGUGCCGCAUCCGUGCCGAAUUCACACCUGUCCGCAACGACUGGGCCGCGGGCGAGCCCAAGUCCGUGACGACGGACCCUGUGAUCGCCUGCUCCCCGGAGUGCCGAACCAUCAAGAUCAUCGGCAACCUGGCCGAGGGCAGCCAGCUGGAUGUGGAUGUCGAGUACAAAGGCGGUGAGGAGGGCGACAGCUUCUACCAGUGGCUGCGCAAGGCGGGCAGCAAGAACGAUUACACACCCAUCUCUGGGGCCAACGGCACCAAGUACGUAGUGAAACCGGAGGACGUGGGCCAGUACUUGGCCGUAGAGUACACUCCAGCCAAUGCGGAGGGCGUCGUCGGUGAGACAUGCCGCUGUGUCUUGAACAACCCAAUCGAGGCUGCCGUGCCCAGCGUGAGCCACCUCACCAUUGUUGGUGAGCUCAUGGAGCAGCACACCCUGACCCUCGAGUAUGACUACACAGGCGGCCAGAGCGGCGCGCACAUGAUCCAGUGGUACCGCCGCGACAAGAAGCGAAGCCACAUGACAAAGAUCGGGUCGCCGAACAACAACUUUGUGACUCUGACCAACAAGGAUGUGGGGUGCUCGAUCGAGGUCUCGCUCACGCCGGUGCGCCUCGAUGGCGUAACGGGUAAGGUUGUGACGGCAAAGCGCGCCGGCACCGUGGAGCCGUGCGCGCCGGAGGUGAAGCUGCUCAACAUUGUGGGGGAUCCGGUCGUGGGCAAGGAACUCCAGCUUCAGGUGGAGUACUGCGGCGGGACGGAGGGUGAGUCGAUCGUAAAGUGGGAGGUCGAGGAUCCCCAAACCAAUGAGUUCAACGUCGUCGCCGCGAAUGCGAAGGUCUACACGGUGAAGGGGACGGACGCGGACAAGAUGCUGAAGGUGACCUACACCCCCGUGCGCAGUGACGGCGACCAGGGCGCCCCCAAGACGCGCAUGGUGCAGGUGAAGGGACAGGAAGAUACGUCAGCGGCAGUGGCGCCUCAGGCGGCUGCUUUGCCAACUAUAUCGAUGUCCUUGACGUCGUCGACGCAGAUUUCGCUCACGUCAUCCGAGGAGUCGAGCAUGAGUAUCUCGCUUCAUGAAGUCUCCGCCUAGCUGGCGCAGCCGAGGGGCGAUGGUGAGAUUUUUACCGAGGCGAAGACGCAUAACUCGGACGAGGAAAUUCACGCUUACACAGAAAUGGUUGAGUCGGCGGGAUGACCUGUAUCGACGUCCACGUCCAGCUGUACUUGUUGAGCCCACCACUGCCGCAUGCACGACCAUUGCGGUGGUUUCGAAAACACAGGUAGUGCAAGGCUACACUUCUUUGCUAGUCGCAUCUGUGUGUGCGUUGACGCGUGAGAAAGCAGGUAGGGAUGCAGCCUGGUGCUUCUACGCUCGUGGCAGGCUACUCAACGGUUUUAUUUUUCGAAAGGCCGAGGAAAGACGUUUCGCCUGCUCUCUGCAUGCACUAGCGCGGUAGUGUGGCGCUAGACAAGCACAGUGAGAUGUGGUUGUAUGUCGGACUGCACGAGCGAGCAGCGAUGGUAGAAUGCCUCGACCACUUUUUUUCAUUAUCGCUUUGAUAGGCUCUGAAGGCUCCACCCUGCUCUCCCCUACCUCUCUCCCUCCCCCUGCAUUUGUCGAUGAGGGACGCAUGUGUUGGGCUGGCAACAUUGCAUUUUUUCCCUCUCUUGCAUGCGGCUACACAUUUUUUUUUCCUUGUUCUCUCCCUGUAUCGCUGAUACGGAAGCUUCGCUUUCACGUAUCGACUCUUCUCUUGAGACGAAAAAAAGAUGAAGAAACGAAAAAAAAAGGCAAACAAAGCAGCAACUGCAGGGAAACGGAAAAGGCGCACUGUAUGGACAAGCUAUGUCGUUUUUACGUUUUCUGCACUUUUUUUUUGUGUAUCCUUUGCGUCUCUCGCCUGUACUGUCUCCUCGUGGGUUCUUCUUUCGUUAUUUGCCUUUGCCUUGAUGUACUUCUUUUUGUGUGUUUAACUUUUGACUUUCCCCUUCUCUUUCUUCUCUCCCUUUCUUUUCUUUUUCCGGUCUGUUGUUGGCUGUGACGCAGUGAACCGGUUGUGCUUGAUUUACGUGGUGGCUUGCAACGGAGGAUCCGCCGCGUUAUAUAUAUAUAUAUAUUCAUAUAUAUGUUCAAACUAAGGUGAAAAAAGAGGCAUUUUUGCCUUUAUUUCCCCUCACCCUCCGUCAAGCGCAGUGAAUCACGCUGGUGAGCGUCGCUUUGCUUGUUUAUGUAAUGGUUUCUCGCUCUCCAUAUGUCUAGGUGCGAAUGGAUGCGCCCGCAUACGCUUUCGAUUGAGGGAAUGCACGUGUUUCUUCCUGUACCUCCCUCUCUCUACAGAGCCGAAAAGGGAAAACGAAACUUGAUCGGUGAGGAUAAUGGCUGACUAGAUCUUGUGUGCGUGUUAUCAAGGAACCUCAGGAGGAAAGAAACCCAAGGUUCUUGUAUCAGCCAUGAGUCGUCUUUGAUGGGUAGCGAUGACAAGCGACACUCUCGGCAUCUAUACAUUCUGUGUAUCCCGCCAUUGGGAUCGGGUGUGUACAUGUCGCCGUUUCAUUUUUUUUUCUCGAAUCCCACCGCGUGGCAUCUCUCCCAGAUCCAGCCAGCAUGAGACGAAAGCGUAUAGGAACGUGAGCUACCACAGCUGGCUGCAAGGGUGCGCAGAUGUAUUGUUCCAUUCUUUUAUGUGCAGCAAUCCAGUGGCCACGCGCUCCUCAUUGGCCUCUGGAAGCUGACGUGUGCCUUCAAUUCAAGCACUGCCCAUAUGAAUAUGUGUCUGUGUGCGACUAUAUUGUUUUCAUUGCCUCGUCUUCUCUCUCGCUGUUGAUGCUCUUGUGAAGGUAUUUUGUCUUCCGUUGUUUUUUUCGUGACUAUAGAUAGGAUUUGUGUCUGUAUAGGCUAUGCGCCAG